rnacentral:rRNA from 1 species
UACGGAGGGGGCUAGCGUUGUUCGGAAUUACUGGGCGUAAAGCGCACGUAGGCGGCUUUGCAAGUCAGAGGUGAAAGCCCGGGGCUCAACCCCGGAAUUGCCUUUGAGACUGCAUCGCUAGAAUUGUGGAGAGGUAAGUGGAAUUCCGAGUGUAGAGGUGAAAUUCGUAGAUAUUCGGAAGAACACCAGUGGCGAAGGCGGCUGACUGGACAUGUAUUGACGCUGAGGUGCGAAAGCGUGGGGAGCAAACAGG